AGGCUGGUAACUCAGUAGGAAGAGUAUCGCACUUUUAAUGCGGAAGUCGAGAGUUCGAACCUCUCUCAGCCUA
rnacentral:tRNA from 1 species